GGGUUGUGAGGUUAAGCGACUAAGCGUACACGGUGGAUGCCCUGGCAGUCAGAGGCGAUGAAGGACGUGCUAAUCUGCGAUAAGCGUCGGUAAGGUGAUAUGAACCGUUAUAACCGGCGAUUUCCGAAUGGGGAAACCCAGUGUGUUUCGACACACUAUCAUUAACUGAAUCCAUAGGUUAAUGAGGCGAACCGGGGGAACUGAAACAUCUAAGUACCCCGAGGAAAAGAAAUCAACCGAGAUUCCCCCAGUAGCGGCGAGCGAACGGGGAGCAGCCCAGAGCCUGAAUCAGUGUGUGUGUUAGUGGAAGCGUCUGGAAAGGCGCGCGAUACAGGGUGACAGCCCCGUACACAAAAAUGCACAUGCUGUGAGCUCGAUGAGUAGGGCGGGACACGUGGUAUCCUGUCUGAAUAUGGGGGGACCAUCCUCCAAGGCUAAAUACUCCUGACUGACCGAUAGUGAACCAGUACCGUGAGGGAAAGGCGAAAAGAACCCCGGCGAGGGGAGUGAAAAAGAACCUGAAACCGUGUACGUACAAGCAGUGGGAGCACGCUUAGGCGUGUGACUGCGUACCUUUUGUAUAAUGGGUCAGCGACUUAUAUUCUGUAGCAAGGUUAACCGAAUAGGGGAGCCGAAGGGAAACCGAGUCUUAACUGGGCGUUAAGUUGCAGGGUAUAGACCCGAAACCCGGUGAUCUAGCCAUGGGCAGGUUGAAGGUUGGGUAACACUAACUGGAGGACCGAACCGACUAAUGUUGAAAAAUUAGCGGAUGACUUGUGGCUGGGGGUGAAAGGCCAAUCAAACCGGGAGAUAGCUGGUUCUCCCCGAAAGCUAUUUAGGUAGCGCCUCGUGAAUUCAUCUCCGGGGGUAGAGCACUGUUUCGGCAAGGGGGUCAUCCCGACUUACCAACCCGAUGCAAACUGCGAAUACCGGAGAAUGUUAUCACGGGAGACACACGGCGGGUGCUAACCUCCGUCGUGAAGAGGGAAACAACCCAGACCGCCAGCUAAGGUCCCAAAGUCAUGGUUAAGUGGGAAACGAUGUGGGAAGGCCCAGACAGCCAGGAUGUUGGCUUAGAAGCAGCCAUCAUUUAAAGAAAGCGUAAUAGCUCACUGGUCGAGUCGGCCUGCGCGGAAGAUGUAACGGGGCUAAACCAUGCACCGAAGCUGCGGCAGCGACGCUGAUGCGUUGUUGGGUAGGGGAGCGUUCUGUAAGCCUGCGAAGGUGUGCUGUGAGGCAUGCUGGAGGUAUCAGAAGUGCGAAUGCUGACAUAAGUAACGAUAAAGCGGGUGAAAAGCCCGCUCGCCGGAAGACCAAGGGUUCCUGUCCAACGUUAAUCGGGGCAGGGUGAGUCGACCCCUAAGGCGAGGCCGAAAGGCGUAGUCGAUGGGAAACAGGUUAAUAUUCCUGUACUUGGUGUUACUGCGAAGGGGGGACGGAGAAGGCUAUGUUGGCCGGGCGACGGUUGUCCCGGUUUAAGCGUGUAGGCUGGUUUUCCAGGCAAAUCCGGAAAAUCAAGGCUGAGGCGUGAUGACGAGGCACUACGGUGCUGAAGCAACAAAUGCCCUGCUUCCAGGAAAAGCCUCUAAGCAUCAGGUAACAUCAAAUCGUACCCCAAACCGACACAGGUGGUCAGGUAGAGAAUACCAAGGCGCUUGAGAGAACUCGGGUGAAGGAACUAGGCAAAAUGGUGCCGUAACUUCGGGAGAAGGCACGCUGAUAUGUAGGUGAAGUCCCUCGCGGAUGGAGCUGAAAUCAGUCGAAGAUACCAGCUGGCUGCAACUGUUUAUUAAAAACACAGCACUGUGCAAACACGAAAGUGGACGUAUACGGUGUGACGCCUGCCCGGUGCCGGAAGGUUAAUUGAUGGGGUUAGCCGCAAGGCGAAGCUCUUGAUCGAAGCCCCGGUAAACGGCGGCCGUAACUAUAACGGUCCUAAGGUAGCGAAAUUCCUUGUCGGGUAAGUUCCGACCUGCACGAAUGGCGUAAUGAUGGCCAGGCUGUCUCCACCCGAGACUCAGUGAAAUUGAACUCGCUGUGAAGAUGCAGUGUACCCGCGGCAAGACGGAAAGACCCCGUGAACCUUUACUAUAGCUUGACACUGAACAUUGAGCCUUGAUGUGUAGGAUAGGUGGGAGGCUUGGAAGUGUGGACGCCAGUCUGCAUGGAGCCGACCUUGAAAUACCACCCUUUAAUGUUUGAUGUUCUAACGUUGACCCGUAAUCCGGGUUGCGGACAGUGUCUGGUGGGUAGUUUGACUGGGGCGGUCUCCUCCUAAAGAGUAACGGAGGAGCACGAAGGUUGGCUAAUCCUGGUCGGACAUCAGGAGGUUAGUGCAAUGGCAUAAGCCAGCUUGACUGCGAGCGUGACGGCGCGAGCAGGUGCGAAAGCAGGUCAUAGUGAUCCGGUGGUUCUGAAUGGAAGGGCCAUCGCUCAACGGAUAAAAGGUACUCCGGGGAUAACAGGCUGAUACCGCCCAAGAGUUCAUAUCGACGGCGGUGUUUGGCACCUCGAUGUCGGCUCAUCACAUCCUGGGGCUGAAGUAGGUCCCAAGGGUAUGGCUGUUCGCCAUUUAAAGUGGUACGCGAGCUGGGUUUAGAACGUCGUGAGACAGUUCGGUCCCUAUCUGCCGUGGGCGCUGGAGAACUGAGGGGGGCUGCUCCUAGUACGAGAGGACCGGAGUGGACGCAUCACUGGUGUUCGGGUUGUCAUGCCAAUGGCACUGCCCGGUAGCUAAAUGCGGAAGAGAUAAGUGCUGAAAGCAUCUAAGCACGAAACUUGCCCCGAGAUGAGUUCUCCCUGACUCCUUGAGAGUCCUGAAGGAACGUUGAAGACGACGACGUUGAUAGGCCGGGUGUGUAAGCGCAGCGAUGCGUUGAGCUAACCGGUACUAAUGAACCGUGAGGCUUAACCUUACAACGCCGAAGGUGUUU
rnacentral:rRNA from 1 species